GGUAUUUCUAGCCUAUUUGUUAAAUACAAGUAGGUGGCCUGCUUGUAAAUUGCUUUACAAGUUUCAGAGGUUUCCCUAUCAAAUGUCUCAUCGGAUAGUGGGGUAAGAAGAGGAGCCCUAUUAUAAUGACUUGCCCAACUCCCCCCGUAUUCUUGGAGUUAAAAGAAAAAAAAAUCCUUGGGCAGAGACGUGCACAAACAUAAAGUUGCGUUUACAGACAUCAGUCAUGUGGGCUAGAAACGCAGUUUUGCAUGAAGAUAGGGGAAGCCAUGUUCAUACUAGCUCUGCAUCCCUGUAGAAUUUGUCUUCUCACCCCCCACAACAGUUCCUGGUGUGCUUUUUUCCUCCUCUAAGUACCUUCAGGAGAAAGUACUUGGUCUUGUAGCUUAGUGAAGAGUGGCGAUGAAGAAAGAUCUUUCAGCCCAUUGCCAGAACUUAACUGCCCCGGUUAGUAAUGGCUUAAGAGUUGCUUCUGCCGACAUGUACUAAGUGCAUGUCGACCUCUGCAAGUGGCGGUGCGUAUGCGUGCCACUGAACAUUAAUCUUGAAAGCAGAAUCAACCAUGCAGCAAGCCCUUAUGUUGUCCAUUUUCAGGGGAGGAAAUUUCAACCUGAAAGACUUCAUAGAGACACGGCAAAGGAGUUGAGCCCCAUAAGAGUCCGUAGGAACAACAAAAGGCUCAGACGCCAGGACCCAUGGCUAAAAUGUAUGGGCUGGGGAUGCGGGCGGGAGCGGGGGGAAGGGAACUAAAGCUAGAGAGGACCUUGUAGAACCGUGUUGUCAAGAAUCUAUUUCAUGCUGAGGAAUUUGAGCUUUCUCUUCCAGGCAGUGAGGAGCCACUCAAAGGUUUUGUCUAUGUUUUUAAUUGGACCUAGGUGUAGAACUGGAUUUAAUUAUAAUCCAAUUCAUUAACCCAUGCCUGGCCCGCUGUGAUAGUUUCCUGUUGAUGCUGUAACAAAUUACUGCAAAUUUAGAUACUUAAAACAACACGAAUUUAUUUUCUUACAAUUCUGGAAGUCAGAAGUCCAAAAUCAGUUACACUGGGCUAAAAUCAAGGUGUCGGCAGGGCUGGUUCCUUGCCUUUUCCAGCUUCUAGAGGCUGCCUGCAUUCCUUGGCUCUUGGCCCCAUCCUCCAUCUUCAAGAAAAGAAGCAUAGUAUCUUCUUUCUUCUCUGCCUCUGUACGUACAUCGUGAUUCUCCUGCCACCCCUUUUCAUUUACGAGAACCUUUUGUGAUUACUUUGGGCGAAGAUUAUCUCAAGAUUCUUAAUCACAUCUGCAAAGUCCCUUUUAGCAUAACAUUCCCAAAUUCUGGGAAUUAGGACAUAGAAAUCUUUGGUGGACCAUUAUUCAGUUUACCGCACCCACCUUUAUUACUUUAGUUUUGAUUAUAGCCACAAACCCACCACACUAAAAAGUUAUAAUGACACGAGUUUAUAUCUGUAUCUAUGCUAUACCUCCUACACACAAUAACACACACCCCUGCCUUCGCUUGGGGUAACCAUCUUUCUGAAUCCUGUCUUUACUAUUUAUUGCUUUCCUUCUACAAGGUUUUAUUCCACAUGUACAUAGUCCUAAAAAUCAUAUGUAUAUACAUGUAUAUUUGAGUUUUUUUUUAACUUAGUAAAAAGAAUAUGCCCACUACAAACUAGAAUGGUUAAAAUGGGCAUGUUUACUGGCAGUGAAAUUAUUAAGGUUAAAAUCCAAAACACUAACACCACCAAGUGCUGGUGAGUAUGAAAAGCAACAGGAACUAUCAUUCUUUGCUGGUAGGACUGCAAAAUGUUAUAGCCCCUUUGGAGGACAGCUUGUCAGUUCCUUACAAAACUAAACAUAAUGCCUAGGUACUUACCCAAAUGAGCUGAAAACAUGUUUACAUAAAAACCUGCACACAAAUGUUUACAGCAGCUUUGUUCAUAAUCAUCCCAAAUUGGAAGCAACUAAGAUGUCCUUGAUAUAAGUGAAUGGAUAAACUGUCGUACAAGGUGGUACAUCCAUGCAAAGAAAUAUUGUUCAGUGAUUUUUUUAAAAAGAGCUAUUGAUAUGGUUUGGCUCUGUAUCCCCACCCAAUCUGAUCUUGAAUUGUACUCCCAUAAUUCCCACGUGUUGUGGGAGGGACCUGGUGGGAGAUAAUUUGAAUCCUGGGGGCAGUUUCCCCCAGACUGUUCUUGUGGUAGUGAAUAAGUCUCACGAGAUCUGAUGGUUUUAUCAGGGGUUUCCGCUUUUGCAUCAUCCUCAUUUUCUCUUGCUGCCACCAUGAUUCUGAGGCCUUCCCAGCCAUGUGGAACUCUAAGUCCAAUUAAACCUCUUUUUCUUCCCAGUCUGGGGUAUGUCUUUAUCAGCAGUGUGAAAACAGACUAAUACAGCUCUCAAGCUACAAAAAGACAUGGAGGAAUGUUAAAUGUACAGCACCAAGAGAAGCCCAGUGGAAAAGGCUGUAAACGCUACAACUUUAACUAUAUGACACUCUGGAAAGGGCAAAACUCAGUGGUUCCCUGGGCAUCAGGGAAGGAGAGAGGGAUGAAUAGGUGGAACACAGGUCAUUUUUACUGGUAGUGAAAUUAUUCAGUAUGAUACUCUCAUAGUGGAUACAUGACCUUAUGCAUUUGUCAAAACCCAUAGAACUGUGCCACACAAAGUGAGUCCUAAUGUAAACUAUGGACUUCAGUUAAUCAUAAUGUAUCAAUAGUUGUUCCUCAGUUGUACAUUUGUUGGAAUUGAUGAACCAAUAUUGAUACAUUGUGAUUAACUGAAGUUUAUAUAUCAAUUAUGAAUUGAUAUACUUGUUAACACUAAUAUAAAACAGUAAUAACAGGGGAAACUAUGUUUGUAAUGGGAGAGAGGGCACAUGGGAACUCUGUACUUCAUGCACAAUUUUUCUAUAAACCUAAUACUGCUCUCAAAAGUCUAUUACAAAGGAAAAAAUUAUGUCCUUGUAAUCUUUUGAGACUGCUUUUCACUUAAUUAACACACAUAAGAUUCAGCCAUAUUUUAUGGCUAUCAUUCAUUCAGACUAUUAUAUGAUAUUCCAGUGUAUAAAUAUACUACAUUUGUCUGAUUUCUCAUUAAUGGAUAUUUGGGUUGCUUCCAGGUUUUUAUACUGUGAAUAAUGCUGCUAUGAACAUUCUUGUGUCUCCUGUGAUAGAUGUGGAAGAGCCUUUCACCCCUCAGCCAUUAGACCACCAGGGAGUGCAAGAGCUUUUCUUUGAUCUAUUUGGAUCUAUACCUAAAAGUGAAAUUGUCAGGUAACAGGGUAUAUGAACACUCCAUUUUGGUGGGUAACAUCAAACCUUUUUCCCAAAGUGAAUACACAAAUUUGUACUCCCAUCAGCAUCGUUUAAGAGACUCUGUGAGCGGAUCCACAUUUUCUUCAGUACUUAGUUUUGUAGUCUGACAAUCAAAGUAUUAGCUCAAUGUGGUCUUAAUUUUUACUUAAUCAAUAAAGUUGAACAUCUCCUCAUAUUCUGUUAACCAUAAGUUUCCUCUUCUGAAGCAUGCCCAUUGAUAUCUUUUGCCUAUUUUUCUAUUAUGUUAUAUGUGCUUUUCUCAAUUUUUUAGGAAUUUUUGAUGCUAAUUCUUUGUUAUAUAUGUAUAUUACAAAUAUCUUCUCCUAGUUUGUAACUUGUCCCUCUCUUUUUAAAAUGCUUUUGAUGCCAGGCAUGGUGGCUCACACCUGUAAUCCCAGCAGUUUGGGAGGCUGAGGCAGGUGGAUCACCUGAGGUCAGGAGUUCGAGA
rnacentral:lncRNA from 10 species